GUUUUGGUGGUUCAGUGGUAGAAUCCUUGCUUUGCAUGAAGGAGACCUGAGUUUGAUUCCUGGCCAAUGCA
rnacentral:tRNA from 1 species